CUGGGUUCUUGUCUCACAACGAGGAAAAAUUACGCACAUGGACACACUAAAAGGAGAUGUUUCUUUUGUGUAUCUUGCUGUUUUGGUAGUCACCUGUUUGCAGUGGCACCAUUGAAUCUAUCUUCAAGAAGCUGAGAAAGCAGAAACCUGGGAAUUAAUGGAUUCAGUAUUAUAAAUCAACUUGGAUGGAGCUGGAGACCAUUAUUCU
rnacentral:lncRNA from 1 species